rnacentral:rRNA from 1 species
AUUGAACGCUGGCGGUAUGCUUAACACAUGCAAGUCGAACGGCAGCAUGGUCUAGCUUGCUAGACUGAUGGCGAGUGGCGGACGGGUGAGUAACGCGUAGGAAUAUGCCUUGAAGAGUGGGACAACUGGGGGAAACUCAAGCUAAUACCGCAUGUACUCGAGAGAGUAAAGCUGGGGACCUUUACGCUUGGCGCUUUAAGAUUAGCUUGCGUCCGAUUAGCUAGUGGGUAGGGUAAAGGCCUACCAAGGCGACGAUCGGUAGCUGGUCUGAGAGGAUGAUCGGGCACACUGGAACUGAGAGACGGUCCAGACUCCUACGGGAGGCAGCAGUGGGGAAUAUUGGACAAUGGGGGGAACCCUGAUCCAGCAAUGCCGCGUGUGUGAAGAAGGCCUGAGGGUUGUAAAGCACUUUCAGUGGGGAGGAGGUUUGGAAGGUUAAGAGCUAUUCAAAUGGACGUUACCCACAGAAGAAGCACCGGCUAACUCCGUGCCAGCAGCCGCAGUAA